GGAUGCGAUGAUACCAGCACUAAAGCACCGGAUCCCAUCAGAACUCCGAAGUUAAGCUUGCUUGGGAGAGUAGUACUAGGAUGGGUGACCUCCUGGGAAGUCCUCGUGUUGCAUUCC
rnacentral:rRNA from 2 species